CAUACACACACACACACACACACACACACACACACACACACACACACACACACACACACACACACCGACAGUUGCAGGCAAAAUCUUAGGACUUGAUUCGUAAACAUCAAUUUGCAGAUCACCGCUCGUAGAAGCAGCAGCGGGGUCAGAGCGAAAGUGUUCACCUGGCUGAAAGAACAGAGGGACACACACAUCCAUCAGCAGAGCAAUACACACUUCCUGUUUGAGGUGAAGACAAGGUUGAGGUCCGGUUAGUCCUUUAGACUCUGGCAUAAAGCCAAAUGAUUAUUAUUGACGUUGUUCUAAGAAAAAUAAUGACGCGUUUUUGGAGAAUGCUGGGGG
ensembl:lncRNA